rnacentral:lncRNA from 1 species
AAAGUUAGAGUUAAUUGCUCGUCGCUCGAGGUCAAGGGAACGGAGUGACCUACUUAUUCGCUUUCAGUCGCGAACGACGUCCAUAGUCGGUCAUGUUUAGCAUUUGUAAGCAGGGAAAUGCUCUAUGUAGAUAUGCCUUCAACCCCAUAACGUGCCAUUCCCAAAGUGUUGUGGGCCAAGACCGCUGCCUUAUGGUCCUUUUACGCCAAGGAGUUAGGAGCACAAAUGUACUAAGACCACCGAGUGCUGAUUCCAGCACGAGGCUGCGCUUACUUUACAAAUUGACCAUAUGACAUCCUUCCAGCUUCCGCAGGUAGCACGGACAAGCAAGGACAGGCACCGGAGCUGAACAUGUUGAGCAGUUCGCGCAAGCGACCCAUGGGUAUAGCCGACCCGGUGCCCGCAUUCAUUGCUUUGGAGCCAUGGCACUCCAGCGAGCAGCAAGCAUCGCUGCGGUGCUGUAGUCCACACUCUCCCUUGCUCUGGGCAAGGCGUUCUCCCCUCAGAAUUUUGCUUUCGAGCACAUAAGCACGAGCCCGCGUCCCGAUGAAUGGAUGUCUGGUUGAGAAAACUAGAAACAUGUUCCAUUCGUUAAAUCUUGGAGGAGAUGGCCAUGUAGCUGCUGUCUUGGCGCGUGCCAGUGUGCUCCAUACCAGACUCGCUGGAAUGGAGUCACUGCGUACACGUACUGCCACGCGCCAUCCUAAUGCAUCCCUCUUAAGGAUUCAGUCCCUUGUUGGAGGCUGACGACCGCGGAAAGGAACCUCAGUAAACCUAAGCGGUGGACAUUUACAUGUCGUACACAAUCGUUUGCGUUGCCAGAUCUGACUCAAGUGUUGUGCUCUUUUGCCACGGCGCGCAUCUCGGCCUUGGCUGGGCGAGGUUUUUUACCCGCAGGCCCGGGAGAAGGUGACGUUUGGUUGGUUAGCGGUUUGUCUCCAACGAUAAUUCAACCUCGUAUGUGUAUACCAUGAAAAUGCAUAAACUAAACAUUAAAAAUCACAAAUGUAACGAGUAGCUGCGAGUUUCUUCCACCUCCAUGUCCCAAAAGAUUUUAAGUGAAGCAAAGAUUUCAACGCACACCGUGCUUGUGCGCACGCCAGCCUACUUAAAGAAUUAUUCAUUUUGAC